rnacentral:rRNA from 1 species
GACGAACGCUGGCGGCGUGCUUAACACAUGCAAGUCGAACGGAAAGGCCCUGCUUUUGUGGGGUGCUCGAGUGGCGAACGGGUGAGUAACACGUGAGUAACCUGCCCUUGACUUUGGGAUAACUUCAGGAAACUGGGGCUAAUACCGGAUAGGAGCUCCUGCUGCAUGGUGGGGGUUGGAAAGUUUCGGCGGUUGGGGAUGGACUCGCGGCUUAUCAGCUUGUUGGUGGGGUAGUGGCUUACCAAGGCUUUGACGGGUAGCCGGCCUGAGAGGGUGACCGGCCACAAUGGGACUGAGAGACGGACCAGACUCCUACGGGAGGCAGCAGUGGGAAAUAUUGCACAAUGGGCGGAAGCCUGAUGCAACAACGCCGCGUGCGGGAUGACGGCCUUCGGGUUGUAAACCGCUUUCGCCUGUGACGAAGCGUGAGUGACGGUAAUGGGUAAAGAAGCACCGGCUAACUACGUG